UGGUGUGUGAGGAGCGAACCAGUAAGAGUGCCGAGACGAAACACGGACAGUCGUCGGCACUCUUUCUG
rnacentral:sRNA from 1 species